AGUUCUAACCCUAAACGAUGCUAACUAGCUAUUCGCCGUCGUUAUUCCCAUGACGUGGCGAGACGCUCCCGGGAAACCUUAAGUCUUUGAGUUCCGGGGGUAGUAUGGUUGCAAAACUGAAACUUAAAGGAAUUGACGGAAGGGCACCACCAGGAGUGGAGCCUGCGGCUUAAUUUGACUCAACACGGGAAACCUCACCAGGCCCGGACACCAGAAGGAUUGACAGAUUAAGAGCUCUUUCUCGAUUUGGUGGGUGGUGGUGCAUGGCCGUUCUUAGUUGGUGGAGUGAUUUGUCUGGUUAAUUCCGGUAACGAACGAGACUCUGGCCUAUUAACUAGUGGAUGGGGGUAAUAACUUCUAAUGGGUCCCCAUCCCAUAAUGUCUUCUUAGAGGGAUGAGCAGCGAG
rnacentral:rRNA from 1 species